rnacentral:rRNA from 1 species
UACGUAGGGUGCGAGCGUUAAUCGGAAUUACUGGGCGUAAAGCGUGCGCAGGCGGUUCGUUGUGUCGGUGGUGAAAGCCCCGGGCUUAACUUGGGAAUGGCCAUGGAAACUGGCGAACUGGAGUGUGGCAGAGGGGGGUGGAAUUCCGCGUGUAGCAGUGAAAUGCGUAGAGAUGCGGAGGAACACCGAUGGCGAAGGCAGCCCCCUGGGCUAGCACUGACGCUCAGGCACGAAAGCGUGGGGAGCAAACAGG